CACAGCACUCCAUUCUCCCCAACAGCCAGAAUCUUUUUCUCAGCCUGACUGAUGUACCCUCCCAAGGCAGUAUCCCAGGCAAUGAAGCCAUGGAACGGACAUAUGCUGCAAAUUUUUCAAGCCUCCCUCCUCCGUCCUGAGGGCUCUCUCAGAUAAAGUGGC